rnacentral:rRNA from 1 species
UACGUAGGGGGCAAGCGUUGUCCGGAAUUAUUGGGCGUAAAGAGCGUGUAGGCGGCCAGAUAAGUCCGCUGUGAAAUCUCGAGGCUCAACUUCGAGCUGUCGGUGGAAACUAUCUGGCUAGAGUCCGGAAGAGGAGAAUGGAAUUCCUGGUGUAGCGGUGAAAUGCGUAGAUAUCUGGAGGAACACCGGUGGCGAAGGCGGCAUCCUGGACCAACACUGACGCUGAUGAGCGAAAGCCAGGGGAGCAAACGGG